UACGUAGGGGGCGAGCGUUGUUCGGAAUUACUGGGCGUAAAGGGCGUAUAGGUGGCCUUGCGAGUCAGGCGUGAAAUCCUCCGGCUUAACCGGAGAAGGGCGCUUGAUACUGCAUGGCUUGAGUGCGGGAGAGGAGAGUGGAAUUCCCGGUGGAGCGGUGAAAUGCGUAGAUAUCGGGAAGAACACCGGUGGCGAAGGCGGCUCUCUGGACCGUAACUGACACUGAGACGCGAAAGCUAGGGGAGCAAACGGG
rnacentral:rRNA from 1 species